AUUGAACGCUGGCGGCAUGCCUUACACAUGCAAGUCGAACGGCAGCGCGGACUUCGGUCUGGCGGCGAGUGGCGAACGGGUGAGUAAUACAUCGGAACGUACCCUGUUGUGGGGGAUAACUAGUCGAAAGAUUAGCUAAUACCGCAUACGACCUGAGGGGGAAAGUGAGGGACCGCAAGGCCUCACGCAGCAGGAGCGGCCGAUGUCUGAUUAGCUAGUUGGGGGGGUAAAGGCCCACGAAGGCGACGAUCGGUAGCUGGUCGGAGAGGACGAUCAGCCACACUGGGACUGAGACACGGCCCAGAUUCCUACGGGAGGCAGCAGUGGGGAAUUUUGAACAAUGGGGGCAACCCUGAUCCAGCAAUGCCGCGUGUGUGAAGAAGGCCUUCGGGUUGUAAAGCACUUUUGUCCGGAAAGAAAUCGCGCUGGUUAAUACCUGGCGUGGAUGACGGUACCGGAAGAAUAAGCACCGGCUAACUACGUGCCAGCAGCCGCCGUAA
rnacentral:rRNA from 1 species